rnacentral:rRNA from 1 species
CCUAAGGUAGCGAAAUUCCUUGUCGGGUAAGUUCCGACCUGCACGAAUGGCGUAAUGAUGGCCAGGCUGUCUCCACCCGAGACUCAGUGAAAUUGAACUCGCUGUGAAGAUGCAGUGUACCCGCGGCAAGACGGAAAGACCCCGUGAACCUUUACUAUAGCUUGACACUGAACAUUGAGCCUUGAUGUGUAGGAUAGGUGGGAGGCUUUGAAGUGUGGACGCCAGUCUGCAUGGAGCCGACCUUGAAAUACCACCCUUUAAUGUUUGAUGUUCUAACGUGGGCCCCUUACCGGGGUUGCGGACAGUGUCUGGUGGGUAGUUUGACUGGGGCGGUCUCCUCCUAAAGAGUAACGGAGGAGCACGAAGGUUGGCUAAUCCUGGUCGGACAUCAGGAGGUUAGUGCAAUGGCAUAAGCCAGCUUGACUGCGAGCGUGACGGCGCGAGCAGGUGCGAAAGCAGGUCAUAGUGAUCCGGUGGUUCUGAAUGGAAGGGCCAUCGCUCAACGGAUAAAAGGUACUCCGGGGAUAACAGGCUGAUACCGCCCAAGAGUUCAUAUCGACGGCGGUGUUUGGCACCUCGAUGUCGGCUCAUCACAUCCUGGGGCUGAAGUAGGUCCCAAGGGUAUGGCUGUUCGCCAUUUAAAGUGGUACGCGAGCUGGGUUUAGAACGUCGUGAGACAGUUCGGUCCCUAUCUGCCGUGGGCGCUGGAGAACUGAGGGGGGCUGCUCCUAGUACGAGAGGACCGGAGUGGACGCAUCACUGGUGUUCGGGUUGUCAUGCCAAUGGCACUGCCCGGUAGCUAAAUGCGGAAGAGAUAAGUGCUGAAAGCAUCUAAGCACGAAACUUGCCCCGAGAUGAGUUCUCCCUGAGACUUAGAGUCUCCUGAAGGAACGUUGAAGACGACGACGUUGAUAGGCCGGGUGUGUAAGCGCAGCGAUGCGUUGAGCUAACCGGUACUAAUGAACCGUGAGGCUUAACCUU